rnacentral:rRNA from 1 species
AUGUCCGAUCCCUCUCCUCAGCCAGGGCACUCAUCAGCGCGACCUACCCCCCGCGAUGACUUGGAUCGGCAACUGCUCCCUCCGCGUCCUGCCGCGGUGGCCGGCGCCUACUUAUACCCGUCCGCCGUCCCUCUUGGUACCGCACCUCUCGCAGCGACAAUGGACCUCCUCAGACCGCUCGCGCUCGCCGCCCUGUGCGUCCUGCUCGCCGGCACCGCGGCAGCGGCCACGGAGGUGGAGGCCCAGUCCUCCUACAUCGUGCACGUCGCGGCGGCCCACGCGCCACGGCUGCCGCGCCGCGGCCUGCUGACAACCCGGGCGUACGGCUCCUUCUUGCGCGACCACAUCCCCGUCGAGAUGUCCAGCCCGGCGCCGAGCGUGCUCUACUCCUACGCGCACGCCGCCACGGGCUUCGCGGCGCGGCUCACGGAGCGCCAGGCCGCGCGCCUCGCGUCCUCGGGCUCCGUGCUCGCCGUCGUGCCCGACACGAUGCAGGAGCUGCACACCACGCUGACACCGUCCUUCCUCGGCCUCUCGCCGUCCUCUGGGCUGCUCAAGGCGUCCAACGGCGCCACCGACGUCGUCAUCGGGGUCAUCGACACCGGCGUGUACCCCGAAGGGCGCCCGUCCUUCGCCGCCGACCCGUCGCUGCCGCCCCCACCGAGCAAGUUCCGUGGCAAGUGCGUCUCAGGCCCGUCGUUCAACGGCUCCGCGCUGUGCAACAACAAGCUCGUCGGCGCCAAGUUCUUCCAGCGGGGGCAGGAGGCUCUACGUGGCCGUGUGCUCGGUGCGGACUCCAAGUCGCCGCUAGACACAAACGGCCAUGGCACCCACACCUCCUCCACCGCCGGUGGCUCUGCUGUCGUGGGCGCCGGCUUCUUCGACUAUGCCAGAGGGAAAGCCGUCGGCAUGGCCCCGGGCGCGCGCAUUGCCGUCUAUAAAGCGUGCGGGGAGGAAGGGUGCGCCAGUUCUGACAUCCUAGCCGCGUUUGAUGAGGCCAUCGCGGACAAUGUCGACGUUCUCUCGGUCUCCCUCGGCGCCGUCGGCAUGGCCCCGAACUUCUACAGCGAUAACACCGCCGUGGGCGCGUUCCGCGCCGUCAGCAAGGGCAUCGUCGUCUCCGCCUCCGCGGGAAACUCCGGCCCCGGAGAUUCCACCGCAUGCAACAUAGCGCCAUGGUUCUUGACGGUCGGCGCAUCCACACUUAACCGCCAAUUCCCGGGCGACGUCGUUCUCGGUAACGGCGAGACUUUCACGGGCACUACACUUUACGCCGGCGAGCCGCUCGCCCCGACCAAGAUACCACUGGUCUACGGAGGGGACGUCGGCUCGAAGGUGUGCGAAGAGGGGAAGUUGAACGCCACCAAGGUCGCUGGGAAGAUUGUUUUGUGUGAAUCGGGUGUAAAUGCCCGAGCAGCGAAACCAUAUGCCGUCAAGCUCGCCGGUGGCGCCGGAGCGAUCCUCGCGAGCACAAAAGCAUUCGGCGAGCAGUCCAUCACCAGCCCCCAUGUGCACCCCGCCACGGCUGUGUCAUUUGUCGACGCCGAGAAGAUCAAGAAGUACAUACGAACGCAAACUUCCCCUACCGCGACAAUCGUCUUCCGCGGCACCGUGGUCGGCUCGACGCCUCCUUCCCCUAGAAUGGCGUCAUUCUCGAGCCGCGGGCCGAACUUCCGCGCGCCGGAGAUCUUCAAGCCGGACGUGACCGCGCCCGGCGUGGACAUCCUCGCCGGUUGGACAGGCGCCAACUCGCCCACGGAGCUCGAGAGCGACACGAGGCGCGUGAAGUACAACAUCAUAUCGGGCACGUCCAUGUCAUGCCCGCACGUGAGCGGCAUCGCCGCGCUGCUCCGGCAGGCGAGGCCAGAGUGGAGCCCCGCGGCGAUCAAGUCCGCGCUUAUGACCACCGCGUACAACGUGGACAGCUCCGGCGACGUCAUCGGUGACAUGUCCACCAGCGACGCGUCCACGCCGUUCGCGCGAGGGGCCGGACACAUCGAUCCCAACAGCGCCGUGGACCCAGGCCUCGUCUACGAUGCCGGCACGGAGGACUACAUCAACUUCCUGUGCGCUCUGGGCUACACCGCCAAGCAGGUCGCCGUAUUCGGCUCGUCCAUCAGUUGUUCGAAGCGCGCGGGCGCCACGGUGGGCGACCACAACUAUCCGGCCUUCUCGGUGGUGUUCACCUCGAAUAAAGCGGCGGUCGUCACGCAGCGCCGCGUCGUGCGCAGCGUCGGCAGCGACGCCGCGGCUGCGUACACGGCCAAGGUCACCGCCCCGGACGGCGUUCGCGUCACGGUGAGCCCCGAGACGCUGCAGUUCAGCCCGACGGAGAAAACACAGGAGUACGUGGCCACCUUUGUGCAACGAACCACCGGUAGCGUCACGGAGAAAUACACGUUCGGGUCGAUUGAGUGGAGCGACGGCGAGCACUCGGUGACGAGCCCCAUCGCCAUCACCUGGCCGACGAGCAAGGUUGCAGAGAUGUGA